rnacentral:rRNA from 1 species
UACAGAGGGGGCAAGCGUUGUUCGGAAUUACUGGGCGUAAAGGGCGCGUAGGCGGCCCGCUAAGUCGAACGUGAAAUCCCUGGGCUCAACCCAGGAACUGCGUCCGAUACUGGCAGGCUUGAAUCCGGGAGAGGGAUGUGGAAUUCCAGGUGUAGCGGUGAAAUGCGUAGAUAUCUGGAGGAACACCGGUGGCGAAGGCGGCAUCCUGGACCGGUAUUGACGCUGAGGCGCGAAAGCCAGGGGAGCAAACGGG